rnacentral:lncRNA from 1 species
UCACCCCACUGCACUCCAGCCUGGGCGACAGAGCAAGACUGACUCAAUUUAAAAAAAAAAAGAUAAAAAUGGUGCAUCUCUAUAGGGCGUUUACCAUGCCUGGAGCUUGUGGGACUGGAAGUUGCUCUGGAAUCACUUCCUGGCUGGGAAUUGAACCCAGACUGCUGCAGUGAAAGAGCAUAAUGUUAGCUACUGGCCCACAGCAUGAGACUCCCGGUCCUGUUUGUUGCUCAUCCCCAGAUACGCAGCCUGGUCUACAGGAAGAAUUCUAUGUAUAUUUGCUGAAGAGACAAAGAAGGAUGUGGAUGAAUUGGAUGUGGAGAAUGAGAGGAAAGAAAAUGUCAAGGAUGGCUCUAAUUUCUGGCUUAUGCAACUGAGUGGUGCCAUUGAGAGAGCAGACUCUCUCUCUUGCCUUCUUGGUUGGCACACUGGGGAGAAGCGAGCUGCAGCGUUGGAGAGGCCCAUGUGGCAAGGGACUGAGAGCAGCCUCUGGCCAACAGCCGGUAAGCAACCAGUGAGCAACCGAGGCCCUCAGUCCCACAGCAUGUGAGGAACUGAGUCCUGCCAAUGAUCAUGUGAUACUGAAGGAGGGUCUUUCUUUAGCUGAUCCUACAGAUGAGAAUCUAGCCCUUGUGCUGCCUCAUGAGAGACCCUGGAGCAGAGGCCCCAGCUGAGCUAUGCCUGGAUUCCUACCCACAGAAACUGGAAGACAAUAAAAGUGUCGUUUAUGUUUUUUUAUUCUGGUAAAAAUCAUAUAACAUGAAAUUUUUCCAUUCUAACCAUUAAAAACAUGUCUUUUUGUGUGUGUGAGACAGGGUUUCGUUCUGU